CCUACGGGUGGCAGCAGUGGGGCAUAUUGCACAAUGGGGGAAACCCUGAUGCAGCAACGCCGCGUGAGUGAAGAAGUAUUUCGGUAUGUAAAGCUCUAUCAGCAGGGAAGAAGGAAGACGGUACCUGACUAAGAAGCCCCGGAUAACUCCGUGCAAGCAGCAGCGGUAAUACGUAGGGGGCAAGCGUUAUCAGGAUUUACUGGGUGUAAAGGUAGCGUAGACGGCUGUGCAAGUCUGAAGUGAAAGCCCGUGGCUCAACCGCGGAAGUGCUUUGGAAAAUGUAUAGCGUGAGUACUGGAGAGGCAGGCGGAAUUCCUAGUGUAGCGGGGAACUGCGUAGAGAUUAGGAGGAACACCAGUGGCGAAGGCGGCCUGCUGGACAGAAACUGACGUUGAGGCUCGAAAGCGUGGGGAGCAAACAGGAUUAGAUACCCUUGUAGUC
rnacentral:rRNA from 1 species